rnacentral:rRNA from 1 species
GAUGAACGCUGGCGGCGUGCCUAACACAUGCAAGUCGAGCGAUUCUCUUCGGAGAAGAGCGGCGGACGGGUGAGUAACGCGUGGGUAACCUGCCCUGUACACACGGAUAACAUACCGAAAGGUAUGCUAAUACGAGAUAAUAUACUUUUAUCGCAUGCUAGAAGUAUCAAAGCUCCGGCGGUACAGGAUGGACCCGCGUCUGAUUAGCUAGUUGGUAAGGUAACGGCUUACCAAGGCGACGAUCAGUAGCCGACCUGAGAGGGUGAUCGGCCACAUUGGAACUGAGACACGGCCCAAACUCCUACGGGAGGCAGCAGUGGGGAAUAUUGCACAAUGUGCGAAAGCCUGAUGCAGCAACGCCGCGUGAGCGAUGAAGGCCUUCGGGUCGUAAAGCUCUGUCCUCAAGGAAGAUAAUGACGGUACUUGAGGAGGAAGCCCCGGCUAACUACGUGCCAGCCGCCGCCGUAA